rnacentral:rRNA from 1 species
GGGCGUUAAGUUGCAGGGUAUAGACCCGAAACCCGGUGAUCUAGCCAUGGGCAGGUUGAAGGUUGGGUAACACUAACUGGAGGACCGAACCGACUAAUGUUGAAAAAUUAGCGGAUGACUUGUGGCUGGGGGUGAAAGGCCAAUCAAACCGGGAGAUAGCUGGUUCUCCCCGAAAGCUAUUUAGGUAGCGCCUCGUGAAUUCAUCUCCGGGGGUAGAGCACUGUUUCGGCAAGGGGGUCAUCCCGACUUACCAACCCGAUGCAAACUGCGAAUACCGGAGAAUGUUAUCACGGGAGACACACGGCGGGUGCUAACGUCCGUCGUGAAGAGGGAAACAACCCAGACCGCCAGCUAAGGUCCCAAAGUCAUGGUUAAGUGGGAAACGAUGUGGGAAGGCCCAGACAGCCAGGAUGUUGGCUUAGAAGCAGCCAUCAUUUAAAGAAAGCGUAAUAGCUCACUGGUCGAGUCGGCCUGCGCGGAAGAUGUAACGGGGCUAAACCAUGCACCGAAGCUGCGGCAGCGACACUGUGUGUUGUUGGGUAGGGGAGCGUUCUGUAAGCCUGUGAAGGUGUACUGUGAGGUAUGCUGGAGGUAUCAGAAGUGCGAAUGCUGACAUAAGUAACGAUAAAGCGGGUGAAAAGCCCGCUCGCCGGAAGACCAAGGGUUCCUGUCCAACGUUAAUCGGGGCAGGGUGAGUCGACCCCUAAGGCGAGGCCGAAAGGCGUAGUCGAUGGGAAACAGGUUAAUAUUCCUGUACUUGGUGUUACUGCGAAGGGGGGACGGAGAAGGCUAUGUUGGCCGGGCGACGGUUGUCCCGGUUUAAGCGUGUAGGCUGGUUUUCCAGGCAAAUCCGGAAAAUCAAGGCUGAGGCGUGAUGACGAGGCACUACGGUGCUGAAGCAACAAAUGCCCUGCUUCCAGGAAAAGCCUCUAAGCAUCAGGUAACAUCAAAUCGUACCCCAAACCGACACAGGUGGUCAGGUAGAGAAUACCAAGGCGCUUGAGAGAACUCGGGUGAAGGAACUAGGCAAAAUGGUGCCGUAACUUCGGGAGAAGGCACGCUGAUAUGUAGGUGAAGUCCCUCGCGGAUGGAGCUGAAAUCAGUCGAAGAUACCAGCUGGCUGCAACUGUUUAUUAAAAACACAGCACUGUGCAAACACGAAAGUGGACGUAUACGGUGUGACGCCUGCCCGGUGCCGGAAGGUUAAUUGAUGGGGUCAGCGCAAGCGAAGCUCUUGAUCGAAGCCCCGGUAAACGGCGGCCGUAACUAUAACGGUCCUAAGGUAGCGAAAUUCCUUGUCGGGUAAGUUCCGACCUGCACGAAUGGCGUAAUGAUGGCCAGGCUGUCUCCACCCGAGACUCAGUGAAAUUGAACUCGCUGUGAAGAUGCAGUGUACCCGCGGCAAGACGGAAAGACCCCGUGAACCUUUACUAUAGCUUGACACUGAACAUUGAGCCUUGAUGUGUAGGAUAGGUGGGAGGCUUUGAAGUGUGGACGCCAGUCUGCAUGGAGCCGACCUUGAAAUACCACCCUUUAAUGUUUGAUGUUCUAACGUGGACCCGUGAUCCGGGUUGCGGACAGUGUCUGGUGGGUAGUUUGACUGGGGCGGUCUCCUCCUAAAGAGUAACGGAGGAGCACGAAGGUUGGCUAAUCCUGGUCGGACAUCAGGAGGUUAGUGCAAUGGCAUAAGCCAGCUUGACUGCGAGCGUGACGGCGCGAGCAGGUGCGAAAGCAGGUCAUAGUGAUCCGGUGGUUCUGAAUGGAAGGGCCAUCGCUCAACGGAUAAAAGGUACUCCGGGGAUAACAGGCUGAUACCGCCCAAGAGUUCAUAUCGACGGCGGUGUUUGGCACCUCGAUGUCGGCUCAUCACAUCCUGGGGCUGAAGUAGGUCCCAAGGGUAUGGCUGUUCGCCAUUUAAAGUGGUACGCGAGCUGGGUUUAGAACGUCGUGAGACAGUUCGGUCCCUAUCUGCCGUGGGCGCUGGAGAACUGAGGGGGGCUGCUCCUAGUACGAGAGGACCGGAGUGGACGCAUCACUGGUGUUCGGGUUGUCAUGCCAAUGGCACUGCCCGGUAGCUAAAUGCGGAAGAGAUAAGUGCUGAAAGCAUCUAAGCACGAAACUUGCCCCGAGAUGAGUUCUCCCUGACCCUUUAAGGGUCCUGAAGGAACGUUGAAGACGACGACGUUGAUAGGCCGGGUGUGUAAGCGCAGCGAUGCGUUGAGCUAACCGGUACUAAUGAACCGUGAGGCUUAACCUUACAACGCCGAAGGUGUUU